rnacentral:ncRNA from 2 species
UCUCAGCAUCAAGAGUUGGGACGACGCCCAACGCCAACCUGCCGUUCCGGGCAAGGUGGCACUCCGAUUAGGAGGAUGUGGCCGAUCCGGCAACCAAGCGGAGCAAG